GCCGGCGCAUAUCAAAGGGACGGGCCGCCUGUGGCCACGCCUCCCGGCUGCGGCGGAGGCUCCGGGAGCCCGAGCCAAGGUGGGAUUGGCCGCUGGGGGAAAGGGUAGGAGGGUGGCGAUGGAGCACGUCCCUGCCGAGGAGCGCAGCAGAUUUUCAAGGCGCUUCUGAGGUCUUCUGGCAAGUGGAAGUUCCUGUUCAAGGGUUUGCCUCUCCUGGGCUGACCUACAAGGAGGGGUUUGAAAAAUGGAGGGGAAACCUGAUCUCUCCAAGAACGAGUUUUUCAGAGACUCUUCCAGGAGGACAUUUCCAGUGAGAGGUGACAUCAGACACCUAGUAAGAGGGUAUCUCUUUGCAAAAUAUUACCUGGACAGGUGACUUUCCUGCUUUCCUGCUAAAAAUGCCCAACAACUUUCUGUUGCCCUUGGGAUAAAGUGCAAACGCCAGCUCAUGCUC